AUUGAACGCUGGCGGCAGGCUUAACACAUGCAAGUCGAGCGGAGAGAGGUAGCUUGCUACUGAUCUUAGCGGCGGACGGGUGAGUAAUGCUUAGGAAUCUGCCUAUUAGUGGGGGACAACAUUUCGAAAGGAAUGCUAAUACCGCAUACGUCCUACGGGAGAAAGCAGGGGAUCUUCGGACCUUGCGCUAAUAGAUGAGCCUAGGUCGGAUUAGCUAGUUGGUGGGGUAAAGGCCUACCAAGGCGACGAACUGUAGCGGGUCUGAGAGGAUGAUCCGCCACAGUGAGACUGAGACACGGCCCAGACUCCUACGGGAGGCAGCAGUGGGGAAUAUUGGACAAUGGGCGGAAGCCUGAUCCAGCCAUGCCGCGUGUGUGAAGAAGGCCUUAUGGUUGUAAAGCACUUUAAGCGAGGAGGAGGCUACUUUAGUUAAUACCUAGAGAUAGUGGACGUUACUCGCAGAAUAAGCACCGGCUAACUCUGUGCCAGCCGCCGCGGUAA
rnacentral:rRNA from 1 species